rnacentral:tRNA from 1 species
CCCCCUAUAGCUCAGUUGGUUAGAGCAGAGGACUCAUAAUCCUUGUGUCCUAGGUUCAAGUCCUAGUGGGGGGA